AGCGAACGCUGGCGGCAGGCCUAACACAUGCAAGUCGAACGAAGUCUUCGGACUUAGUGGCGGACGGGUGAGUAACACGUGGGAACGUACCUUUUGGUUCGGAACAACUCAGGGAAACUUGAGCUAAUACCGGAUGAGCCCUUAGGGGGAAAGAUUUAUCGCCGAAAGAGCGGCCCGCGCUAGAUUAGCUAGUUGGUGAGGUAAAGGCUCACCAAGGCUACGAUCUAUAGCUGGUCUGAGAGGAGGAUCAGCCACACUGGGACUGAGACACGGCCCAGACUCCUCCGGGAGGCGGCAGUGGGGAAUCUUGCGCAAGGGGCGAAAGCCUGACGCAGCCAUGCCGCGUGAAUGAUGAAGGGCUUAGGAUUGUAAAAUUCUUUUACCAGGGACGAUAAUGACGGUACCUGGAGAAAAAGCCCCGGCUAACUUCGUGCCAGCAGCCGCCGUAACAC
rnacentral:rRNA from 1 species